GGCCGGGUCCUGUGCAACGGCUCCCCGUGAACCGAGUCAGGGCCGGAAGGCAGCAGCUCUCAGCGGGUCGAGCGGUGUGCCGCAGGUUGCCUGGUCGCC
rnacentral:SRP_RNA from 1 species